UGAGCAAUCUGCCCUUCUCAUCGGAAUAAGCGUUGGAAACGACGUCUAAUGCCGAAUACGACCUCCUUUCGCAUGAUCGGAGGUGGAAAGCUCCGGCGGAGAAGGAUGAGCUCGCGGCCUAUCAGCUAGUUGGUGUGGGUAAUGGCCCACCAAGGCGACGACGGGUAGCCAGCCUGAGAGGGUGACCGGCCACACUGGGACUGAGACACGGCCCAGACUCCGUAGGGAGG
rnacentral:rRNA from 1 species